rnacentral:rRNA from 1 species
UACGAGGGGUGCAAGCGUUAUUCGGAAUCAUUGGGCGUAAAGGGUGCGUAGACGGUUUAUUAAGUCUGUUGUUUAAGACUCUGGCUUAACUGGAGAAAGGCAAUGGAAACUGAUGGACUAGAGGGUGAGAGAGAGAAGUGGAAUUUCUGGAGUAGCGGUCAAAUGCGUAGAUCUCAGAAGGAACACCGAUGGCGAAGGCAGCUUCUUGGCUCAUACCUGACGUUGAUGCACGAAAGCGUGGGGAGCAAACAGG